GAUGAACGCUGGCGGCGCGCCUAACACAUGCAAGUCGAACGAUUAAAGCACCUUCGGGUGUGUAUAAAGUGGCGAACGGCUGAGUAACACGUGGGCAACCUGCCCCUCUCAUUGGGAUAGCCACGGGAAACCGCGGAUAAUACCGAAUACUUCGAGACUUCCGCAUGAAAGACUCGAGAAAGCUCCGGCGGAGAGGGAUGGGCCCGCGGCCUGUUAGCUUGUUGGUGGGGUAACGGCCUACCAAGGCAAUGAUGGGUAGCUGGGUUGAGAGACCGACCAGCCAGAUUGGGACUGAGACACGGCCCAGACUCCUACGGGAGGCAGCAGUGGGGAAUCUUGCACAAUGGGCGAAAGCCUGAUGCAGCGACGCCGCGUGCGGGAUGAAGGCCUUCGGGCUGUAAACCGCUUUCAGCAGGGACGAGGCGAAAGUGACGGUACCUGCAGAAGAAGCCCCGGCUAACUACGUGCCAGCAGCCGCGGUAAUACGUAGGGGGCAAGCGUUAUCCGGAUUCAUUGGGCGUAAAGCGCUCGUAGGCGGUCUGUUAGGUCGGGAGUUAAAUCCGGGGGCUCAACCCCCGUUCGCUCCCGAUACCGGCAGACUUGAGUUUGGUAGGGGAAGGUGGAAUUCCUAGUGUAGCGGUGGAAUGCGCAGAUAUUAGGAAGAACACCAGUGGCGAAGGCGGCCUUCUGGGCCAUAACUGACGCUGAGGAGCGAAAGCUAGGGGAGCAAACAGG
rnacentral:rRNA from 1 species